ensembl:lncRNA
AUGGCCACUAUGUAUUUUAGUUGUCUAUAUGACUGUUACCAUACCAACAGAUGUAUGAUCGCAAUGAAGAGCAGACAUCAGGAGAUGAUUCAAGAACUGGAGGAGAACUUUCUCAUAUCAUCACGAGAAAAUCAGGCUCAUCAUGUUUAUGCUAAGCUAACAGAGGCUAAACAGCAGUUUGAACAAAUGGCAGAAGACAACCAAAAAAUUCUGGCAGAGUUUAAAGAAAGUCUUGACCAAACUGUGGAAGGGUCCAGGCAGAAGAGCCACGAGGAACAUGAGGAUGCACAGCAGAAAAUGGUGGAGCCACAGGUGGAGCCAAGUUCACAAGCCAGAUUACUCCAUCAUGAGGUCAUGCAGGUGGCUUUGGAGUGCAUCAGAGCAGGGGCUAAAUCCACUAUCAUUGGAAUUCGAGAAGGAUUUCCAAAAAAAUGGAUUCUUAAAUUCUGAAACUGAUAAAAGUGUGGGGCAGCAGCUAUUGUUACUGCAAGCUGAGGUUUCAGCCUGCAUGCUGGAGCUGUACAAUGACCGCCUACAGGAUCUCUUUGUGAGCCCCGCUGAAGCUUUCAGCAAGCGAGUUGAAAUUGAGAGGGACAGAAAGGGGCUUGUGUUCGCCCAGGGAGCAGAAACAAAAGAGGACACCAGCGCUGGCGAACUCUUUGCAUUAUUUGAGUAGGGCUGUGCAAACCACCACAUUGCGGCCACAA